AAUAGCCGGUNNGUCUGACGGUACCACCAGAGGAAGCUCCGGCUAACUCCGUGCCAGCAGCCGCGGUAAUACGGAGGGAGCAAGCGUUGUUCGGAAUUACUGGGCGUAAAGGGCGCGUAGGCGGCUGGAUAAGUCGCGUGUGAAAGGCCGGGGCUCAACCCCG
rnacentral:rRNA from 1 species